rnacentral:lncRNA from 1 species
GGGCUGGGCUGCCGCACGAGUGGCCUGCCGGGUGCGGGGGAAAAUGUUCGAGCGCGAGCCCCCGCGGGGCCACUGGGGAGACGGAGGGCAGAAACGGGGGCCGUUGGAGCCAGCCUAAGCUUGGGUGUAAGCUCUGUCACUCAGAGCUCGGGACUAGGCGCUUUUGGGUGCAAAACGAGUGGCCCACACAACUCCCUGGCUAGAAGAGGCCCGAGUCUGGGAGGGGAGAGAUUUGGAGAAACCGAAUCUCAACUCCAUGAAGUCAGUGACGUGUCUCUUCUCUGCUGUACUCCGGGUGCCUGAAAUGUGCCUGGCAGGAAACUUUCAUUUUGGCCACAUAUGUACCUGUGUGCAGGCAUGUGUGCUUCUGUGAGCAUGCCCUGGAUCUCAAUGCCAAGGUCAACAGAAAGAAAGCAGAGAGUGAGUCACCAGCUAGCAGGAUGGAGCGUUGGAGAGUGGCCUAACAUGGGUAUUGGGAAGCUGAAGGCUGACCUGAGAGCUCCUCCUAGCAUGAGGCUCAUCUGUCAUCAUAAGCACAUGUGGGGGUCUCCUUCACUGGAUUGAGGACAUGUCCUGAGUGCAGCCAUCCCUGCCAGGAUUUAUGGGAACCAGGGAAGGUCUUCCCACUUGGCUGUAUUAACUACAGGAGGAUCGACCUUCAUGUGAGCACAGCCUGUCCCACCAAACUGGCAAGUAAAGCGAAAGAUUGCUCGGAGGCCCCUUUCUCUAUCUAGAGUGGCCAGAAAUCCUUAGAGGCAGCUGCCUGAUACACUUUCUCCGAAGGCUGACUGUUAAUCUCUUUUCCUUGGGAACUCUGCCUUAGCAUCGCGCCCUCCCGCGGGGAGGUGUCAUUUGCAGUAGUGGUUGGUUUGACAAUAGACGUGCUAAGGAGGGCGUCUCCAGAUCCCCUGCGUAGAGCCUGGGUCCCCAUCACUCAGGCUCCCGGGAGCUGCUUCUCAUUCUCUAACCCAGAUGAAUGGCACUGCGGAGAGACAGAGAGAAGUCUUUGAAGUAAAGGCACUAGGACUAAUGGCAUAAUUACUCCACAGAACCAUUUGCAAAGUAAUUAUGGACUAUUGUUAGGAUGCUCCAGCUUUUUUUUUUAAAGUAAUGAGGCUUUGCUUGGAGUAAGUGAUUAUGGGGAAAAAAGCCAAUAAUGUGUGUGUGUGUGCAUUUUAAAAAGGAGAGAAAUACCCUUUAUGCCCCCUCCUCUCAAAGCCCCCUUUCCCAUCUCCCUCGUGUAAAACCAGAAACUCACCCAGAACCCACCAUGGACCCAAGAGUGCCCUGUUGCCUUCUCUUGCCCUGGCAUUAAAAUACAAUUUCGAGAAGUACUGGCUGUAGAAUAAUUUGCUGAGAGAUGCAUUUCUUCUAAGGACGGAAGGACCUUGAGGCCGUGUUGUUAAUGUUUCGAAGCCCAGGGGUCUUCUGAGUGGGAAAGUUCUCCAGCGGCUCUCCUCAAGCACUUCAUGCCAGAGCUGGGCUUCCUUCUGGCCCUGGCCCACCUCCUGGGAUGUCCGUGGGGUCCGCCGCACAGAGCCCGCAGCCUCUGCAUGACAGGGCCUGCGUCAAGCUAAUUGAGAUACAUAUUACAAUAUUAACUUUUUAAAUAUCGUAUUAGCUUUCCAUUAGGAUAAAUGAGGUACGGAGGAAAAUUGUAACAGAGCAUUAGUCUCUGCCUGCACUUAGCACAUUGAUUAUGUCCAGAUGAGAUCCUCUGAGCCCACCCCGGGGACCAUGGGAGGGGCAGGCUGAGGCCAAGGGCGUGUCUUCUAGAUGGAAGCUCAGUCUGAGGGUGCAGGCGGUGAAGGGCAGGGAGGCGUGGAAGGGCUGAGUCUUGGGUGGAAGGGGCUGGGACCCAUUUAAGUCCUCUCUGAUGACAGUGCCCUGGAUCCUACAGGACAUUGAAGGACUUUUCUGGGCAGCCUGGCACUUAGCCGAUAGCAGCAAUUGUAAAUAAUUACAGCACUGUUGGCUGAGCUUCUAGAGAGGACAGGCCCUUUGGGGACACUCUCUCUUAAUCCUCAUUUCAAGUGACAGAGGAACAGGGGUCCAGGGAAGGAAGGGAUGGCCCCAAGGUCUCCCAGCUUCUCGAAAUAGCACUUCUGCCUGGGGAGGAACUUCAAGUCUAGGCUUGCACUGAAGUCUGAAGCCUUCGUGUCCAGCCCUGAGGUGUUGCUGAACCUGUGGGCCUGGGAGGUAUGGGGCAGCCUGCAAAUUCCCAGCCAGGGUAUCUUAGUCUGUUUGAGCUGCUCUAAGAAAACAUCACAGGCGAGGUGGUUCAUAAACAUCAGAAAUCUGUUUCUCCCUGUUCUGGAGCUGGAACCCACCCUCGUGAGCUACCUUCUCCCGGAUUCCCCACCUCCUAAUACCAUCACACUGAGCACUAGUUUUCUGCAUAUGCAUUUUCGGGGGACAUAGACAUUCAGUCUAUAGCAUAGGGCUCUGUGCACAACCAUCCUUCAGCUUUGUCUGAGGCAGUGUGGCCAGGUGGCCCACCAGACACAGACACGGACUAUUGUCAGAGAAAGAUGUCAUUUCCUAUGAACAUGGAAGGUGUGUGUGAACAAGGCCAAAAGGCAGUUUGGACUGAGCCCUGGGUCACGACCUACCCCUGGGUGACAAUAACUUGGCUAAAGGAGGAAGCUACGCCAGCAUCUGCUUCCUGGAUAGCUGAGUCCUUGAGUAAGUUAACCACUCUGAGACUCAAUUUCUCAUCUAUAAAAUGGGUUGAGUAACCCUAUCUCAAUAGGGUUUGGGGGGCAUUCCUGGGAUAAUCCAUACAAUACACUUGGCGCAUAUAUAUUAUGCUUAGAAACAUUAGCUGCUAUUUCAGUGUGAUCAUAGUGAUUAUUAAGAACUGGCUCUCUGGAAGAAGGCCUACCUGAGGGGGUCAAUGCUUGGCUCCCUGUUUAUUGAUGGUGUGGUCUUGGGCUUGUUGAUACCUCCCAAGACUCAGUUUCCUUAUUGAUAAGACGAGGAUAGUAGAUGUACCUGGUUCAGAGAGUGACGGAGAUUGAGCGUGUUAACACAUUUAAUGCACUCAGCAUAGUGCCUGGCCGAUGGUGUAUUUAUUAUUUACCUCUGUGUUCAGCUGUGAAUUUAGCCAGAGCCAGGGGAGGUGCCUGCCUUUUGAUGUCCAGACCUAUGUAGGGCCUGUGGACAGUGAGUUGUUGGAGGCUGGCAGGUGGACGGGCAUGCGUGUUACCCUAGAUCGGCUGGGCCCCUGCGCUGGGGCAUUCCCUGUCCACACUGCCUCCUCAGACCAGGCAUUGCUGGGUCUCUCCUGAAGAGAGGGACAGUCUGCUUGGGAGCAUGGCUGUGGUAUGUGUGUGGCUCCAACAUCAGCCCCUUCAGGGUGGAGGGGUUGCUUGGUUCAUCUUUGCCUCUCCUGUUCUGCUCAAACCCUGGAACUUGGUAACACCUCUGUGAAUCGCUCUGAGUUGCCUACAGCACAAGAAAUGAUGGUGAACAUCCGAAACAGUGUGUAAUGAAGUUCCAUGUUAUACGGUGCCUGUAGUUUGAACAGAAAGAGUCCAGAUGACAGGUGGAGCUUUCUGAAGGAGGUGAUGUGAACGGGGCCUGCUGUGAAAAGGUGGUUGGGACACAGGGAUGGGGUCUGGGAGGGGGAGCAAUGUGAUUUAGUGGCAGGGGCCUGAGUGGUCAGAGGAGCAGAGGGCCCAGUGUCUUUGGAGCAGAGUGUGUGUGUGAGGGGUUACAGGUGAUGGAGGACCUAGGGAAAGGGCAGGAAUUUGACAUCAAGGCAGGGGACUAUAGUGAGGUGCAGAAAGCUUCAAAGGUGGACCAACCUCCUGGGAGUAUCUUGGGAGGUUGACCUUGGGGCAGUGGGGUGCUGAGCCAGUGAUCUGAGGCGCAGCACAGCUGCCCUCACCUCUUGUCCUGGGAGAUGAUGCUGUUUGCUUGGUGCUGCCAAGUGGUGCAGUCGCUUAACCAUGACCUGCAAGUUAAGUCACCUGUCGUGAGGAGGAAUGAGUCAUUCUCUGAAGCUUUUGUGCAAGAGCAACUAGAAUAUUUAUCCAGGUCUCAGGGAACCCAGGGACACCUUGAAAAACAGGAGCUGGCUUUGAAGUGGGAUCCAAUGACAUCCUUAAGCCUCUGCGUCUAGAGAUCUGUUCACAAGUCAGAGCCCGUAGAUUUUAAGGGCAGAAUAUUUUCACUGCAAAGAAACUUUCUCUGAGAAGCCUUGAUUGGAAGACUGCCUGGAGCCCACAGAGCUUUUUGUUUUCAGGCUCAUUAGUGAGUGAGAGUCUCAUUUGCAUUGUGCAUGGGGCAAAGGCAAAACAGAGAGAGAAAGUGACUGGCAGACAGGGCACCUGGAAUGAAGUGUGUGACUGUGGGGAAGCCGGCAUCCACAGGUCAUGACCUCCUGUGGACUUUCCUAUACGUGAAACUCCAUCUUGGAGGCUGCUUCCUGGGAAACCCAGCCUGUGACAGUAGGUGAUAAGACGCUGGGGCCUCGAGUCAGUUAUUUCCUCUCCAGGCCCCAGUUUCUGCAUCUGCAAAAUAAAAAUGGCUCGCCAGAUAAGAGAUUCUCAAAGUGUGGCCCAUGGAACCCCAAGGGUUCCUGAAAUACUCUUUGAACAUCUCAUUUAUCAAAGGACAAAACUAUUUGCAUAAUAUUAUUGUUAUCUAUUUGCCAUUUGUGCUGAUGGUGCCAAAGCAAUGGUGCCUUAAAAGUGGCAUCAAUCCAUGCUAAUCUUGUAUUCUUUGCUACUAUGUACUCACAGU